GAUGAAGAACGUAGCGAAAUGCGAUACUUGGUGUGAAUUGCAGAAUCCCGUGAACCAUCGAGUCUUUGAACGCAAGUUGCGCCCGAAGCCACUAGGCCGAGGGCACGCCUGCCUGGGCGUCACACGCCGUUGCCCCCCCAUCUACUCCUUCGGGAUUGCGGGGGGGCGGAUGAUGGCCUCCCGUGCGCCUAGCCGCGCGGUUGGCAUAAAUACCAAGUCCUCGGCGACGCACGCCACGACAAUCGGUGGUUGCGAAACCUCGGUUGCCCGUCGUGUGCGUUCGUCGCGCAUCGAGGGCUCGAAAAAAUGCUCGGCUCCGGCUGGGCUUUCAACGCGACCCCAGGUCAGGCGGGGUUACCCGCUGAAUUUAAGCAUAUCAUAAGCGGAGGA
rnacentral:misc_RNA from 1 species